UAAGUCGUGUCUUCUGUCCUUGUAGUCGCUGGUCCGUCUGUGUAUCUACCAUGUUCCAUUCGUGUGUUCUCCCUGCUGUCACCAUCAUAUACCAUCGUCUAUCUUCCUUCAUGUUCAGGAAGUAAGGAGCAGACGGCUGAGCUCAUCAAACUCCAGGGUGAAAACGAACACCUGUUUACCGGUGCCAAGAACUCAGCCGCUGUGGGUUGGAGGUACAGCCUGGCAGGCAAAAUCACCCCGUUGCAGGCGGGGGAAAAAAAGGGACAACCUAAAGAAAAAAUUAAAAAAUCACAAGUAUCCCGCAUCAGGUGAGGGGGUGAGUGGGAAGACCACUGCUGCUACAUGGCCCUGGUUUGUCCCCAUGGAUGAGGUGUUAGGACAGAGGCCGUCUACCA